rnacentral:ribozyme from 14 species
ACCAUCGCGUAUUGAUUUGAUAAAAUACACGUGUAUGUAUGGACGCAGAUGAGUGCAGGUCUUGUUUGGUUCUUCUUUCUUUCUUCCUGCCAUAAAUAGUUCUAGUAAAAUAAAUAAAUACUGUA